AUGAUCCUCUGUAACAGGUGGAGAGACUAUCUCCUGUGGGCAGCAGAUUCCUGGGGCUCAUUUUGCUGUUUUCAAAGUUCCUUUGUGAAAGAAAGUUCCGAAGUGACAAAUGUUCCAGAAGAAUGUUUUUUUUUCUCCUUUUGGAUCUUUAAAACUGUGAGGAAAAAAAAUGAAGAACUUGAAUCAGUUGUUGUUUGUCAUGCAUUGAGCACUGCUGGGAAGCAGAGUUCCCAGCUCCCAGUCUAGAUGUCUCAUACAAAUGGCACGUAUGUCCCUUUCGCUAAUCACUGAUAUCUGCAAACUUCAUUUGGGCUGUGGCAUGUGCCAGAACAUUCCAUUGCCUGUGUGAUCCAUAUUUCAUCUGUACUCUGGCCUCGCUGGUCUUCAUUCUGCUUCACUGUAAAGGAAUUUUGAGGUACCAUAGAAUUUAUUUUUUAAA
rnacentral:lncRNA from 1 species